rnacentral:rRNA from 1 species
UACAGAGGGGGCAAGCGUUGUUCGGAAUCACUGGGCGUAAAGCGUGCGCAGGCGGUUGGUUAAGUCUGAUGUGAAAGCCCCGGGCUCAACCUGGGAAUGGCAUUGGAAACUGGCUAGCUGGAGUGUGGCAGAGGGGGGUGGAAUUCCGCGUGUAGCAGUGAAAUGCGUAGAGAUGCGGAGGAACACCGAUGGCGAAGGCAGCCCCCUGGGCCAACACUGACGCUCAGGCACGAAAGCGUGGGGAGCAAACAGG